rnacentral:rRNA from 1 species
UACGUAGGGUGCAGGCGUUAAUCGGAAUUACUGGGCGUAAAGCGUGCGCAGGCGGUUUCUUAAGUCAGAUGUGAAAGCCCCGGGCUUAACCUGGGAACUGCGUUUGAAACUGGGAGACUGGAGUAUGGCAGAGGGGGGUGGAAUUCCACGUGUAGCAGUGAAAUGCGUAGAUAUGUGGAGGAACACCGAUGGCGAAGGCAGCCCCCUGGGCCUGCACUGACGCUCGAUGCACGAAAGCGUGGGGAGCAAACAGG